rnacentral:rRNA from 1 species
UACGGGGGGGGCAAGCGUUGUUCGGAAUUACUGGGCGUAAAGGGCUCGUAGGUGGCCAACUAAGUCAGACGUGAAAUCCCUCGGCUUAACCGGGGAACUGCGUCUGAUACUGGAUGGCUUGAGUUCGGGAGAGGGAUGCGGAAUUCCAGGUGUAGCGGUGAAAUGCGUAGAUAUCUGGAGGAACACCGGUGGCGAAGGCGCCCACCUGGCCUGCUACUGACGCUGAAGCUCGAAAGCUAGGGGAGCAAACGGG